rnacentral:rRNA from 1 species
CAAAACGACUCUCGGCAACGGAUAUCUCGGCUCUCGCAUCGAUGAAGAACGUAGCGAAAUGCGAUACUUGGUGUGAAUUGCAGAAUCCCGUGAACCAUCGAGUCUUUGAACGCAAGUUGCGCCUGAAGCCCUCGGGCCGAAGGCACGUCUGCCUGGGCGUCAC